rnacentral:rRNA from 1 species
UUGGAGGGCAAGUCUGGUGCCAGCAGCCGCGGUAAUUCCAGCUCCAAUAGCGUAUAUUAAAGUUGUUGCAGUUAAAAAGCUCGUAGUUGAAUUUCGGGGUCAGUAGGUUGGUCAUGCCACUGGUAUGUACUGGUCUCACUGAUUCCUCCUUCCUGAUGAGCCGUAAUGCCAUUAAUUUGGUGUUGCGAGGAAUCUGGACUGUUACUUUGAAAAAAUUAGAGUGUUUAAAGCAGGCUAACGCUUGAGUAUAUUAGCAUGGAAUAAUGAAAUAGGACGUUCGAUCUUAUUUUGUUGGUUUCUAAGAUUGACGUAAUGAUUAAUAGGGAUAGUUGGGGGCAUUAGUAUUCAAUUGUCAGAGGUGAAAUUCUUGGAUUUAUUGAAGACUAACUACUGCGAAAGCAUUUGCCAAGGAUGUUUUCAUUAAUCAAGAACGAAAGUUAGGGGAUCGAAGACGAUCAGAUACCGUCGUAGUCUUAACCAUAAACUAUGCCGACUAGGGAUCGGAUGAUGUUAAUUUUUUAAUGACUCAUUCGGCGCCUUACGGGAAAC